UACGGAGGGGGCGAGCGUUGUCCGAAUUUAUUGGGCGUAAAGCGCGUGUAGGCGGACUUUCAAGCCUGAGGUGAAAGGUUGGGGCUCAACCCCAUACAGUGCCUUGGGGACUGAGAGUCUGGAGGCCGGCAGAGGAGAGUGGAAUUCCUGGUGUAGCGGUGGAAUGCGUAGAGAUCAGGAAGAACACCCAUGGCGAAGGCAGCUCUCUGGGACGGUACUGACGCUGAGACGCGAAAGCGUGGGGAGCGAACAGG
rnacentral:rRNA from 1 species